rnacentral:rRNA from 1 species
AUUGAACGCUGGCGGCAGGCCUAACACAUGCAAGUCGAACGAGUGGCGGACGGGUGAGUAAUUGCUGGGAAACUGCCUGAUGGAGGGGGAUAACUACUGGAAACGGUAGCUAAUACCGCAUACCAUCAGAUGUUCCCAGAUGGGAUUAGAUAGUUGGUGGGGUAACGGCUCACCAAGGCGACGAUCCCUAGCUGGUAUGAGAGGAUGACCAGCCAAAUUGGAACUGAGACACGGUCCAGACUCCUACGGGAGGAAGCAGUGGGGAAGAUUGCACAAGGGGCGAAAGCCUGAUGCAGCCCGGCCGCUGGUAUGAAGAAGGCUUUCGGGCUGUAAAGUACUUUCAGCAGGUAGGCGUUACCCGCACAAGAAGCACCGGCUAACUCCGUGCCAGCAGCCGCGGUAAUAC